rnacentral:rRNA from 1 species
GAAUGUGGAGCCGUAGCGAAAGCGAGUCUGAAUAGGGCGUUGAGUAUUUGGUCGUAGACCCGAAACCAGGUGAUCUACCCUUGGUCAGGUUGAAGUUCAGGUAACACUGAAUGGAGGACCGAACCGACUUACGUUGAAAAGUGAGCGGAUGAACUGAGGGUAGCGGAGAAAUUCCAAUCGAACUUGGAGAUAGCUGGUUCUCUCCGAAAUAGCUUUAGGGCUAGCCUCAAGUGAUGAUUAUUGGAGGUAGAGCACUGUUUGGACGAGGGGCCCCUCUCGGGUUACCGAAUUCAGACAAACUCCGAAUGCCAAUCAAUUUAACUUGGGAGUCAGAACAUGGGUGAUAAGGUCCGUGUUCGAAAGGGAAACAGCCCAGACCACCAGCUAAGGUCCCAAAAUAUAUGUUAAGUGGAAAAGGAUGUGGCGUUGCCCAGACAACUAGGAUGUUGGCUUAGAAGCAGCCAUCAUUUAAAGAGUGCGUAAUAGCUCACUAGUCGAGUGACACUGCGCCGAAAAUGUACCGGGGCUAAACAUAUUACCGAAGCUGUGGAUUGUCCUUCGGACAAUGGUAGGAGAGCGUUCUAAGGGCGUUGAAGCAUGAUCGCAAGGACAUGUGGAGCGCUUAGAAGUGAGAAUGCCGGUGUGAGUAGCGAAAGACGGGUGAGAAUCCCGUCCACCGAUUGACUAAGGUUUCCAGAGGAAGGCUCGUCCGCUCUGGGUUAGUCGGGUCCUAAGCUGAGGCCGACAGGCGUAGGCGAUGGAUAACAGGUUGAUAUUCCUGUACCACCUAGUAUCGUUUUAAUCGAUGGGGGGACGCAGUAGGAUAGGCGAAGCGUGCUGUUGGAGUGCACGUCCAAGCAGUAAGGCUGAGUGUUAGGCAAAUCCGGCACUCGUUAGGCUGAGCUGUGAUGGGGAGAGGAAAUUGUUUCCUCGAGUCGUUGAUUUCACACUGCCGAGAAAAGCCUCUAGAUAGAUAACAGGUGCCCGUACCGCAAACCGACACAGGUAGUCAAGAUGAGAAUUCUAAGGUGAGCGAGCGAACUCUCGUUAAGGAACUCGGCAAAAUGACCCCGUAACUUCGGGAGAAGGGGUGCUCUUUAGGGUUCACGCCCAGAAGAGCCGCAGUGAAUAGGCCCAAGCGACUGUUUAUCAAAAACACAGGUCUCUGCUAAACCGUAAGGUGAUGUAUAGGGGCUGACGCCUGCCCGGUGCUGGAAGGUUAAGAGGAGUGGUUAGCUUCUGCGAAGCCACGAAUCGAAGCCCCAGUAAACGGCGGCCGUAACUAUAACGGUCCUAAGGUAGCGAAAUUCCUUGUCGGGUAAGUUCCGACCCGCACGAAAGGCGUAACGAUUUGGGCACUGUCUCAACGAGAGACUCGGUGAAAUCAUAGUACCUGUGAAGAUGCAGGUUACCCGCGACAGGACGGAAAGACCCCGUGGAGCUUUACUGUAGCCUGAUAUUGAAAUUCGGCACAGCUUGUACAGGAUAGGUAGGAGCCAUUGAAACGUGAGCGCUAGCUUACGUGGAGGCGUUGGUGGGAUACUACCCUAGCUGUGUUGGCUUUCUAACCCGCACCACUUAUCGUGGUGGGAGACAGUGUCAGGCGGGCAGUUUGACUGGGGCGGUCGCCUCCUAAAAGGUAACGGAGGCGCUCAAAGGUUCCCUCAGAAUGGUUGGAAAUCAUUCACAGAGUGUAAAGGCAUAAGGGAGCUUGACUGCGAGACCUACAAGUCGAGCAGGGUCGAAAGACGGACUUAGUGAUCCGGUGGUUCCGCAUGGAAGGGCCAUCGCUCAACGGAUAAAAGCUACCCCGGGGAUAACAGGCUUAUCUCCCCCAAGAGUUCACAUCGACGGGGAGGUUUGGCACCUCGAUGUCGGCUCAUCGCAUCCUGGGGCUGUAGUCGGUCCCAAGGGUUGGGCUGUUCGCCCAUUAAAGCGGUACGCGAGCUGGGUUCAGAACGUCGUGAGACAGUUCGGUCCCUAUCCGUCGUGGGCGUAGGAAAUUUGAGAGGAGCUGUCCUUAGUACGAGAGGACCGGGAUGGACAUACCUCUGGUGUACCAGUUGUCGUGCCAACGGCAUAGCUGGGUAGCUAUGUAUGGACGGGAUAAGUGCUGAAAGCAUCUAAGCAUGAAGCCCCCCUCAAGAUGAGAUUUCCCAACUUCGGUUAUAAGAUCCCUCGAAGAUGACGAGGUUAAUAGGUUCGAGGUGGAAGCGUGGUGACACGUGGAGCUGACGAAUACUAAUCGAUCGAAGACUUAAUCAAU